GCAGCCGCGGCGGGGUGGUGAAUGCGAUGGACUAGAAUUCCAUUGGCGUCUCCCCGCACAGGUUCAAAUCCUGUCGACUGCG
rfam:Ixodes scapularis strain Wikel colony gcontig_1107728860774, whole genome shotgun sequence.